rnacentral:snoRNA from 1 species
AACCCCUGGCGGUAGGCAAAGAGACACCUCAUUGGUGGUGUUACUCUUACAUCAGUUGGGCACAGUAGACUGAUAGCCCUUUGUUCAUCCUAGCUUGGUGCCUAGAUUGGUGGGCAGAGCUGUUUUAUGCCUGGUGCACAGAA